CUGCCAGCUAGGCCUCUUUGACACGAUCGAUCAUACAUCCAUCGAUGAUCGAUCCAACACAAACACAGGAAGACGCGCGCGAUGAACAUAUAUAUGCUGCAUGCAUGCAUGCAUGCGCAUGACGAUGAUAGCAGAUUCGUGAAGAAACACACCCAAAACAAAGCAAAGCAAAACAAAAUGAAAGCGAUGAACGAAGAGCGAUGUGUACUAGUAGCUUAGCUUGUACUUGUUGCUGAGACCUGAGAAAUCAUAUAAUUAUUAUUUAGCCCGGCCGGCCUGGUGCAGGCGGGCGUGUGCAUAUAUAUCCAUGGAUCGGGAAACGACGACGAUGGAGAGACGACGAGAGGCAGGCAUGCAUGCAUGCAUGCAUGGCGACGAUGAGAUGAGAUAGAUCAGGAGGAGCACUGGAAUCCCGAGGGGACGCGCCUGCCGCAGUAGUUGACGAGGAGGCUGAGGUUGAUGGGGAGGUUGAGGUUGAUGCCCAGGAUGUUGGCUCGCAGCGCGGUGCAGAGACACACCGCCGCCUCAAGGUCCGCCAGCCCCUGGAUCAGCGUGCAGCACGGCGUCCUCGGCGGUGUCCCCAGGUUCACGUUGAUCAGCCCGUUCAGCACGUUGGCGCACACGCCCAACUUCAGCGUGUCCACAGGGCAACGACCGCGCGUCCCGCCGCCGCCGCCGCCGCCGCCGCCGCCUCCUCCGCCGCUCCCUCCUCCACCACUGCCGCCCCCACCGCUCCCUCCGCCGCCUCCGCUCCCACCACCACCAGAUCCUCCGCCUCCCCCGCCUCCACCUCCCCCGCCACCACCGCCUGGUGGACUAGGGCAGGAGCCGCCGCACCUGCAGCCACAUGCGUCGGCGAAACCGAACAAGAGGAGGUUCAGGGCCAGCAGCGAGGCCACCAAGGCCACUUUCUUCGCCAUCUCGCUACCACCACGUACUCCUACGUACGUACGCAGCACACAGCAGUCGUAGCUUGGUUUCUAGCGUACCUGCAGAUCAGACUGCAGGUCGCUAGUGUGUGUG
rnacentral:lncRNA from 1 species